rnacentral:misc_RNA from 1 species
GUAUAAGUUUAAAAGGGCCAAUAAAGUCCCUUUGUAAGACAUUCAAAGACAUUCAGAGUUUGUAAAGACAUAGAAAGUCCGAUACUUGAACACUCGUUCUCAGACUCUCUACAAAAAGUGCACAGGUGGAUAAAGAUUGAAAGAAAAGCAAGCACUUGUCCUUGAAGGACCAGCUCAACUUUUCUUUACAAUGUUUUCAAUAAUGAUCCUUCCGCAGGUUCACCUACGGAAA